rnacentral:rRNA from 1 species
AUACGUAGGGGGCUAGCGUUAUCCGGAAUUACUGGGCGUAAAGGGUGCGUAGGUGGUUUCUUAAGUCAGAAGUGAAAGGCUACGGCUCAACCGUAGUAAGCUUUUGAAACUAAGAGACUUGAGUGCAGGAGAGGAGAGUAGAAUUCCUAGUGUAGCGGUGAAAUGCGUAGAUGUUAGGAGGAAUACCAGUUGCGAAGGCGGCUCUCUGAACUGUAACUGACACUGAGGCACGAAAGCGUGGGGAGCAAACAGGAUUAGAUACCCUGGUAGUCCACGCCGUAAACGAUGAGUACUAGCUGUCGGGGGUUACCCCCCUCGGUGGCGCAGCUAACGCAUUAAGUACUCCGCCUGGGAAGUACGCUCGCAAGAGUGAAACUCAAAGGAAUUGGCGGGG